rnacentral:rRNA from 1 species
UACACUCCUACGGGAGGCAGCAGUGGGGAAUAUUGCACAAUGGGCGCAAGCCUGAUGCAGCCAUGCCGCGUGUAUGAAGAAGGCCUUCGGGUUGUAAAGUACUUUCAGCGGGGAGGAAGGCAAUACGGUUAAUAACCGUGUUGAUUGACGUUACCCGCAGAAGAAGCACCGGCUAACUCCGUGCCAGCAGCCGCGGUAAUACGGAGGGUGCAAGCGUUAAUCGGAAUUACUGGGCGUAAAGCGCACGCAGGCGGUCUGUCAAGUCGGAUGUGAAAUCCCCGGGCUCAACCUGGGAACUGCAUUCGAAACUGGCAGGCUUGAGUCUUGUAGAGGGGGGUAGAAUUCCAGGUGUAGCGGUGAAAUGCGUAGAGAUCUGGAGGAAUACCGGUGGCGAAGGCGGCCCCCUGGACAAAGACUGACGCUCAGGUGCGAAAGCGUGGGGAGCAAACAGGAUUAGAAACCCGAGUAGUCCCAGAU